UGACUCAUCCCUAGCUAGAGUCAGUACUUCAUAGAAAAGACAAGAGCUGUGAGCCACUUAACUGUAAUCUUACCCCUUUACAGAAAUGCCUCCCAUAGUCAAGCUGGUCUGAUGAUCUCAUGUCAUCAUGCACAAAGAUUAGCAAGCCUUGAAAUUUUAUCCUGUCAGUGUAACUCCUCAUCUAGUCUCAAGAUUGCACUGGCAAUUCUUUGGCAGCUGAUCAUACAGGGAGGACCAAUAAGGCUCACAGAACACCCUUGGAGAAUGAAUGCCUCUGCUGCUGGAGGUCACAGCACCCAGAAAGUGACUAGAGGGAGCAGCUGAUGCCUGCUCUAGUGAGUUCUGCUGUUCCUGUCACAUCCUUGCAGAGGUCCAAGGGUUGCUGCUGUGAACCAUACAACCUUUUUGAAAAGCAAAGUCUGAACAUUUGCAUUCUAUACAGAAUAUUACAGUUGGAAAAUAGGUGUGGUGUCUAGAGAAAAGCUUCUAAAUGCUGCAAGCCACCCUAUGUGAAGCCUAUUCUAGAAAUCUGCUUUGCUUCAAUUAUUAACUUCAUGGUACCUUUGAAAGUAGAAGUUCCUGAAAGUGUGUACAGAAGGCUAUGGGGACAGAGCAUCAGAGAGUGCUGAUCAGGAAAAAAGACUGGGGCAGAUGCACACAGAGAAGCAAAGAAGCACGAGAGGAUGAGAAUUAAGAAACAGACUCUUUUCAUUUUAAUUAAUUUGACUAGAUUAUAUUUCUUGCAAUCAAAAGGGCCCUGUGCAGAGAAGGUCCUUGUCUUUGUUCAUUUUCUGUUGCUAUAGCUGAAUGCCUGAGACUAGGUAAUUUAUAAAGAAAAGAAAUUUAUUGCUUACCAUUUUAGAUGCUGGGAAGUACAAGAUCAAGAGUUCUCAUCUAGUGAGGGCCUUCUUGCUAGUGGGGUCUCUGUAGAGUCCUGAGGUAACACAGAGGAUCACAUGGUGUGGGGGUGGGAUUCACCAGAGAGAGCCAAACUGACUUUUAUAACAGACUUACUUUUGUGGUAACUAACCCACUCCCUCGAUCACCCAUCAGUCCAUUAAUCUAGAAGUAGAUUCAUUCACUCAUGAGGACAGAGCUCUUGUGAACCAAUCACCUCCCAGAAGUCCCACCUCUCAACACUGCUGCACUGGGGACCAAAUUUCCAACAUAUGAACUUUUGGGGGACACAUUCAAGCCACAACAGUCCUCAUAAAUAUUUGUUGAAUCAAUGAAUACACAGGACAUAGUGUCCUAAAUGCUUGGCAUGUACAUGAACCAGAUUUGGUCCUUGAUGUCACAGAGCUUAUAAUAUAGUAGAGGAAACAGACUUUACACAUUGGAUCUUGAUUGUAAAACUAGGGUCACUACUCAUCAUCUGAUGAAGGAGGCAGACAGUAAAACAAAUAAUGACUAUUCAACAUGGUAAUGUCAAAACUGAACAGAGGCUCAAGUGAAAGUUUCAAUGAUAGUAACCAUGGUCAAUGGAUAGGUGAAUGCAUUGGAAAAUUAGUAUGAUAUCAUUAGCAAAAAAAGAAAUUGCACUUAAGUUCAUCUGACCGAAUUCAUUCCUUCCUUCCUUCCUUCCUUCCUUCCUUCCUUCCUUCCUUCCUUCCUUCCUUCCUUCCUUCCUUCCUUCCUUCCUCUAUCUUUCUUUGGUUUUAAGAUCUGGCUAUAGUAUUGUGCUAGUGCACAUAUUUUAAUUUGGUGCAAGGCAUGCAUAACAGAGUAACUGAAAAGCAAUAAAGGUUAGAACAUGUAUUUAUUUCAAUGACUAAGGAGUAAUAAAUCAUUUUGUCAGGUUGCACUCUAACAUUCAGAUUCCAUUUUUUUUUAUGGCUAACCAAGCAUUUGUAAUUCUGAACUCCACAGAAUGGGGAAAAACUGUAUUAACUUAUAAUAGAUCAUUGAACUUGUUAAAUGUACCUUUCCUAAUUCAUACUUUUUCCCUUUAGCUAAGAAAAAUGCUUUUCUGAAUAUAUAAUUUUUACAGGUCAUUGGAAAGGAGUACUGCACAACAGGAUUAUUAUAAUGUGCUAAAAGAUGGCACUUGUAUCUCAUUGCCAUGUAGAGAGCUCAUGUGAAAACUCUUUGAUCUUUGCUGGCUUUUUAGCUGAAAGGAUUUGGAAAUCAUUUUGGCACUGGCAAAAACAGAACUGUGGUGACUGUUUAUAGUUGGUUGAUUUUUAGCAAUGGGUAAGAAAGUCUUUGUUGAAUCAAAUUUAUUAAUACGUAAUGGGCAACAUGUUGCCUUAAAGGCAAAAGCAUAUUUUUCUCAUAUCAAAAAGCUCCCUAAAUUUUUGCCAACAUCCAAAGAUAUUUUAAGAUGGUGUUCAUUUUCUUUUUCAGUCUGUCCUAUGCUGAGAAAAAAAAAAUUACAACUCUCUGAACUUCAGCAGUUUUUUUGAGUAAAAGGAGUUUUUCAUGAUGUGAUUGAUAUCAUAACUACUCAGCUGGACGUAAGCUUUCAAGGGCUAAGUCCAUUUGCCGAUUUGUUUGCAUUUCCUACUUCAACUAAAAGAAUUCAAAGACAUGGAGUGUCUAUUGUGGAAAAUGCAUGAAUAAUGCAAAAGUCAUUCUCAAGUGACCUAUCAGAAAGGCCUAUCGGAAAUGCAGUUACUGCUUUCUAAUAAAAUCAUGAAAAACUUUUUUAAAAAGUAUAACCAUCUUGAAUUUGUUGAGGCAAUUAUAAGGGAGUAUAUAAGGGCAAGUUUCUCCUAAAAACUGUUUUGUUUGUUUUGUUUUUUUAAAUAAUUACCAUCAACAGCAAUCUGUUUUCUCAUUGUAGUAGUAUAGGUGUUAACAUAAAAGCUCAAACAGCUUGGGAGAACAAAAAGGAUGUAGCAAACCUAACUGAUGACUUUGCUAGCUUCAAAUCAUGAUGGCCAUUCAUAGAAAUAUUUAAUAUUUGAAGUAAUGGAAUAUUGACUUAUGUUUUCAUGGUUUAAGAGUUUAUAUUUCAAAUUUUUUUCACAUAGUGUGUUUAUA